rnacentral:rRNA from 1 species
AGCGAACGCUGGCGGCAGGCUUAACACAUGCAAGUCGAGCGGGCACUUCGGUGUCAGCGGCAGACGGGUGAGUAACACGUGGGAACGUACCCUUUGGUUCGGAAUAACGCUGGGAAACUAGCGCUAAUACCGGAUACGCCCUUUUGGGGAAAGGCUUGCUGCCGAAGGAUCGGCCCGCGUCUGAUUAGCUAGUUGGUGGGGUAAUGGCCUACCAAGGCGACGAUCAGUAGCUGGUCUGAGAGGAUGAUCAGCCACACUGGGACUGAGACACGGCCCAGACUCCUACGGGAGGCAGCAGUGGGGAAUAUUGGACAAUGGGCGCAAGCCUGAUCCAGCCAGGCCGCGUGAGUGAUGAAGGCCUUAGGGUUGUAAAGCUCUUUUGUCCGGGACGAUAAUGACGGUACCGGAAGAAUAAGCCCCGGCUAACUUCGU